rnacentral:tRNA from 1 species
GCGACACUAGCUCAGUUGGUAGAGCGCAACCUUGCCAAGGUUGNNGGUUGAGGUCACGAGUUCGAACCUCGUGUGUCGCUCCA